rnacentral:rRNA from 1 species
GUCGAACGAACUCUGGUAUUGAUUGGUGCUUGCAUCAUGAUUUACAUUUGAGUGAGUGGCGAACUGGUGAGUAACACGUGGGAAACCUGCCCAGAAGCGGGGGAUAACACCUGGAAACAGAUGCUAAUACCGCAUAACAACUUGGACCGCAUGGUCCGAGUUUGAAAGAUGGCUUCGGCUAUCACUUUUGGAUGGUCCCGCGGCGUAUUAGCUAGAUGGUGGGGUAACGGCUCACCAUGGCAAUGAUACGUAGCCGACCUGAGAGGGUAAUCGGCCACAUUGGGACUGAGACACGGCCCAAACUCCUACGGGAGGCAGCAGUAGGGAAUCUUCCACAAUGGACGAAAGUCUGAUGGAGCAACGCCGCGUGAGUGAAGAAGGGUUUCGGCUCGUAAAACUCUGUUGUUAAAGAAGAACAUAUCUGAGAGUAACUGUUCAGGUAUUGACGGUAUUUAACCAGAAAGCCACGGCUAACUACGUGCCAGCAGCCGCGGUAAUACGUAGGUGGCAAGCGUUGUCCGGAUUUAUUGGGCGUAAAGCGAGCGCAGGCGGUUUUUUAAGUCUGAUGUGAAAGCCUUCGGCUCAACCGAAGAAGUGCAUCGGAAACUGGGAAACUUGAGUGCAGAAGAGGGACAGUGGAACUCCAUGUGUAGCGGUGAAAUGCGUAGAUAUAUGGAAGAACACCAGUGGCGAAGGCGGCUGUCUGGUCUGUAACUGACGCUGAGGCUCGAAAGUAUGGGUAGCAAACAGGAUUAGAUACCCUGGGUAGUCCAUACCGUAAACGAUGAAUGCUAAGUGUUGGGAGGGUUUCCGCCCUUCAGUGCUGCAGCUAACGCAUUAAGCAUUCCGCCUGGGGGAGUACGGCCGCAAGGCUGAAACCUCAAGAAAUUGAACGG